UAGCAUAAUAAUUUGUUUUUUAAAUGAAAACUAGUAUGAAUGGCCAUCCAUUUUCUAACUGUCUCUCUAUAUUCUCUUUUAAAUUUCUACCCCCGUGAAGAAGCGGGGAUUUCAAAGUAAGACGAAAAGACCCUGUCGAGCUUAAGCUAAUAAAAGAAAUUUAAUUAUUAUUAAUUUAUAUUUUAUCUUUUUUAAGCUUUGGUUGGGGCAACCAUGGAGUAAAACUAUCCUCCAGUUAUAAUAAGAUGAAUUUUAUUCUCUUUAUUAAUUUAAUGAACCAAACUAUUUUGGUAAACAGAAAAAGUUACCGCAGGGAUAACAGCGUAAUCUUCUUUGAGAGCCCAUAUUGACAAGAAGGUUUGCGACCUCGAUGUUGGAUUGGGGCAACCAAAAAGCGCAGCCUCUUUUAAAGGUUG
rnacentral:rRNA from 1 species